rnacentral:rRNA from 1 species
GGUUAAGUGAAUAAGGGCGCACGGUGGAUGCCUUGGCACUAGGAGCCGAUGAAGGACGGGACUAACACCGAUAUGCUUUGGGGAGCUGUAAGUAAGCUAUGAUCCAGAGAUUUCCGAAUGGGGGAACCCAAUAUCUUUUAUAGGAUAUUACUUUUCAGUGAAUACAUAGCUGAUUAGAGGUAGACGCAGAGAACUGAAACAUCUUAGUACCUGCAGGAAGAGAAAGAAAAUUCGAUUCCCUGAGUAGCGGCGAGCGAAACGGGAAGAGCCCAAACCAACAAGCUUGCUUGUUGGGGUUGUAGGACUCCAAUAUGGUAGUCUGUUAGUAUAGUUGAAGGAUUUGGAAAAUUCCGCUAAAGAGGGUGAAAGCCCCGUAGACGAAAUGCUGACAACACCUAGGAGGAUCCUGAGUACGGCGGAACACGAGAAAUUCCGUCGGAAUCCGCGGGGACCAUCCCGCAAGGCUAAAUACUCCCUAGUGACCGAUAGUGAACCAGUACCGUGAGGGAAAGGUGAAAAGCACCCCGGAAGGGGAGUGAAAUAGAUCCUGAAACCGUGUGCCUACAACAAGUCAAAGCUCGUUAAUGAGUGAUGGCGUGCCUUUUGUAGAAUGAACCGGCGAGUUACGAUUGCAUGCGAGGUUAAGUCGAAGAGACGGAGCCGCAGCGAAAGCGAGUCUGAAUAGGGCGAAUGAGUAUGUAGUCGUAGACCCGAAACCAUGUGAUCUACCCAUGUCCAGGUUGAAGGUGCGGUAAAACGCACUGGAGGACCGAACCCACGUACGUUGAAAAGUGCGGGGAUGAGGUGUGGGUAGCGGAGAAAUUCCAAACGAACUUGGAGAUAGCUGGUUCUCUCCGAAAUAGCUUUAGGGCUAGCCUCGGAAUUGAGAAUGAUGGAGGUAGAGCACUGUUUGGACUAGGGGCCCAUCUCGGGUUACCGAAUUCAGAUAAACUCCGAAUGCCAUUCAUUUAUAUCCGGGAGUCAGACUGCGAGUGAUAAGAUCCGUAGUCGAAAGGGAAACAGCCCAGACCACCAGCUAAGGUCCCAAAAUAUAUGUUAAGUGGAAAAGGAUGUGGGGUUGCACAGACAACUAGGAUGUUGGCUUAGAAGCAGCCACCAUUUAAAGAGUGCGUAAUAGCUCACUAGUCGAGUGACCCUGCGCCGAAAAUGUACCGGGGCUAAACAUAUUACCGAAGCUGUGGACUACACCAUUAGGUGUAGUGGUAGGAGAGCGUUCUAAGGGCGUUGAAGGUCGAUCGUGAGGACGGCUGGAGCGCUUAGAAGUGAGAAUGCCGGUAUGAGUAGCGAAAGACAGGUGAGAAUCCUGUCCACCGUAUGACUAAGGUUUCCUGGGGAAGGCUCGUCCGCCCAGGGUUAGUCGGGACCUAAGCCGAGGCCGAUAGGCGUAGGCGAUGGACAACAGGUUGAUAUUCCUGUACCAGUUGUUUUUGUUUGAGCAAUGGAGGGACGCAGUAGGCUAAGGAAUGCAUGCGAUUGGAAGUGCAUGUCCAAGCAAUGAGUCUUGAGUAGAGUUAAAUGCUUUACUCUUUAAGGACAAGUUGUGACGGGGAGCGAAAUAAUAGUAGCGAAGUUCCUGAUGUCACACUGCCAAGAAAAGCUUCUAGUGAGAAAACAACUGCCCGUACCGUAAACCGACACAGGUAGUCGAGGAGAGUAUCCUAAGGUGAGCGAGCGAACUCUCGUUAAGGAACUCGGCAAAAUGACCCCGUAACUUCGGGAGAAGGGGUGCUGACUUCGGUCAGCCGCAGUGAAUAGGCCCAAGCGACUGUUUAUCAAAAACACAGGUCUCUGCAAAAUCGUAAGAUGAAGUAUAGGGGCUGACGCCUGCCCGGUGCUGGAAGGUUAAGAGGAUGGGUUAGCUUCGGCGAAGCUCAGAAUUGAAGCCCCAGUAAACGGCGGCCGUAACUAUAACGGUCCUAAGGUAGCGAAAUUCCUUGUCGGGUAAGUUCCGACCCGCACGAAAGGCGUAACGAUUUGGGCACUGUCUCAACGAGAGACUCGGUGAAAUUUUAGUACCUGUGAAGAUGCAGGUUACCCGCGACAGGACGGAAAGACCCCAUGGAGCUUUACUGUAGUUUGAUAUUGAGUGUUUGUACCACAUGUACAGGAUAGGUAGGAGCCGAUGAGACCGGAACGCUAGUUUCGGAGGAGGCGCUGGUGGGAUACUACCCUUGUGUUAUGAA